UUAAAAAGUAAAUCCAUAUUGUGUUAAGAGGGCAUCCUCCAUAUCUUACCCUACUGAUUAUGCCAAAAUUGAUUUUUUUUUCCCCAAAAAGUGGGGACAAAUAGAAAAUGUCAGCGGAGGAAUGGCUUUUGAUGAGCUUGCAUUUUUCAGUUUGUGUUUGCUGUUAUGUGACAUAUUCUGGUUGUGAUGUCUGUAUAACAUUUUCCUCUCUGUUUUAAUCAGAAUGAGUCAGCCUCCUUGCUUUACGUGGACAGCAUAACGUAAGACACAUUUACAUUCUGAUUGUACACAAAUACACAACCCACUUGACACCUUGAGACACCCGGCGUCUGGACGAAGAUAGCGACUAGGUCACCCAGGCUUGGCAGGCCCAGGCUUGGCUCUCCCGUGCAAUCUGUGCUCGUGGUUUUGGCAGGUCCUCCCACUCCUCCUCCUCCCCUCCCCACCCAGACCCCCUCUUUGCCAGGGCUGUAUGUGCUGAUCUGAAGUACCUACCAUCUUCCAUCGUCUCCAACUGAAGAUUACACACCUGUCUGGCAUGUGUGAGCAGCCAGGGAUAGAGGCAGAGCCGCGCGGAUGGCAGCCAGCUCUGCUCCCCUGUCCCAGACUGCUCUGAUGUCAGCUGGCUGUGAAAGGGAAAGGGCCUUGUACUGACCAGAAACUGUGAUUAAGCUUGAACUGGGAUGUGGCCAGAGCUCUGGACCAACGCCACGCUGCCCUUGUCUGCGCGAGCUGCCCCGCCAAGAUUCUCCAGCCCUGGUGAGACUAAGUCUGCAGCAAAAAGGAAGUGAAAGAGGAUGCACAGUACACAAACAAGCUCCAAAAUGAUAAUCUCUGACAAAAUCUGUAAGAAAGUGAGGAAAGACACAAAGACUGCAUUUGUUCACAACUUGCAAAGUUGGUGCAGUGAAAAGGCUGCCAUUGGGCUUCAGGGUCAGAUACCAUGCCAGCAUCACCAAUCCUACUACUGUUGAUUAGCAGAACGAAAGAGGAAUAUCACCUUAUUUGAUCCUGUGAUCGUAAGGCGUUAAAUCAACAUCCUCAUCCUCCCAGUCUCCAGUGAUAUGUAAGUAAUACCUGUUAAUUAAAAAAGUUCUUCCUGGUACUCUUGUGCCAACUUUUCAAAAACUGUUGGUACUCGCAUGAUCAAAACUCCCUUUAAACUCAAUAAUCAUUGCAUGUUAUU
rnacentral:lncRNA from 1 species